GUGAAGAACGUAGUGAAAUGCGAUACUUGGUGUGAAUUGCAGAAUCCCGUGAACCAUCGAGUCUUUGAACGCAAGUUGCGCCCGAAGCCAUUAGGCCGAGGGCACGCCUGCCUGGGCGUCACACGUCGUUGCCCCCCCAUCUACUCCUUCGGGAUUGCGGGGGGCGGAUGAUGGCCUCCCGUGCGCCUCGUCGCGCGGUUGGCAUAAAUGCCAAGUCCUCGGCGACGCACGCCACGACAAUCGGUGGUUGCGAAACCUCGGUUGCCCGUCGUGUGCGGUCGUCGCGCAUCGAGGGCUCGAAAAAAUUGCCGGGCUCCGGCUCGGCUUUCAACGCGACCCCAGGUCAGGCGGGGUUACCCGCUGAAUUUAAGCAUAUCAAUAAGCGGAGGA
rnacentral:misc_RNA from 1 species